rnacentral:lncRNA from 1 species
UCACACUUAAGUCAUGACAACAAUCACAUAAUCACAUCCCAUCAUAACAUCAUGAAAAAUCAACAUGUGCAAUCAUAUAUGCAAAUGUACUCCAUAACUGACUCAUUAUUCAAUGAGGUACCAUUCAUGAACACUCUGGUUCACCUCACUCCCGAUAUUCACCAUAGGACCAGAGCACACCAAAUCAUUACCACCAUAGGUAACGCUUCAUCGAUCCCCACCUGAAACCCACUACUCACUCCCGAUUCCCACCGUACACCAUGAUG